AAUUAAAAAAUUAUUUAAAUUUUUUUAAAAAAAAUUAAAUUAAUAAAAGUAUUUUUAUUAAAAUUUUAUUUUUAGUAUUUUAAAAGAAAAAAUUAUAUAAAUUAUAGUUUAUUAGUAUAUUGAUAGAAAUUUGAAAAUUUUGAAAAUUAAUUUUAUUAAAAAGUAUAUUUUAUUUAUAGUACCUUGUGCAUCAGGGUUAAUUAAAAAAAUUAUAUAUAUAUUAUAUUUCUCGAAUUUAAAAGAUCUAUUUAAAAAUUAUUUUUAAUGUUUAAUAAUUAUAAUCAAUUUUUAAAUAGAAAUGAAAUGUUUUUCGUUUUUAAAGUUAUCUAGUUUUUUAAUAAAUAAAUUUAAUUUAUAUAUUAUUAUAAUAAUUAUUUUAAUUAAUUAAAAUAAUUAUUUUUAAUAUAAAAGUUUUAAGGGAUUAGCUUUAAUUCUUAUGUUUAUAAUUAAUUUAUAUAUAUAUAUAUUUAAUUUAUGAAUUAGGCUUAGAAUUAGCUUUAAUUUAAAAAUUGUAAUAAAUUUAUAAUUAAUAAAUUAUAAAUUUUAAUAAAAUUUAAAUUUAUAUUAAAAUUAAUUAAUUAAUAAAUUAUUAAUUAAAAUAAUGAUUAAAUUAGUAAAUAAAUUAAUAUUUAAUUAAAUGUAUUAUGAUAGGUAAUUUUAAGGAAUUCAGCAAAUAUUUAACUCGCCUGUUUAACAAAAACAUGUCUUUUAGAAAUUUAAAUUAAAAGUCUAAUCUGCUCAGUGAAUAAUUUUAAAUAGCCGCAGUAUUUUAACUGUGCAAAGGUAGCAUAAUAAUUUGUCCUUUAAUUAAGGACUAGAAUGAAUGAUUUGACGAAGUUAAAACUUUCUCAAUUUUAUUAAUUAUUGAAUUUAAUUUUUAAGUUAAAAAGCUUAAAUAAUAUUAAAGGACGAGAAGACCCUAUAGAGUUUUAUAAUUUAUUUUAUUUUAAAUUAAAUUUUUAUUUAAUUUAGUAUAAAUUAUUUUAUUGGGGAGAUAUUUAAAUUUAAAUAACUUUAUAUUUUUUUUUACAUAAAUUAAUGAAUUUUUGAUCCUAAUUUUUAGAUUAUUAGAUUAAAUUACCUUAGGGAUAACAGCGUUAUUUUAUUAUAAGUUCUUAUUAACAAUAAAAAUUGCGACCUCGAUGUUGGAUUAAAAUUUAUUUUAGGUGUAGAAGCUUAAAAAUUAGGUCUGUUCGACCUUUAAAAUUUUACAUGAUCUGAGUUCAAACCGGUUUAAGCCAGGUUGGUUUCUAUCCUUAUUAAAAUAUAAAUCUUUAGUACGAAAGGACCAUGAUUUAGAAUUAAAUAUAAUUUUAAAAUAUGAAUUUUAAUAAUU
rnacentral:rRNA from 1 species